rnacentral:tRNA from 1 species
GCAGUUGUGGCGGAAUUGGUAUACGCGCAUGAUUCAGGUUCAUGUCCGAGAGGGUGUGGGUUCGAAUCCCAUCAACUGCACUA